UUUUAUUUUUGAAUGAUUGAA
rnacentral:piRNA from 1 species